GUGUCUUUAGCUCAGUUGGUUAGAGCAUCUGCCUCAUAAGCGGAAGGUGGCCGGUUCAAUGCCGGCAAGACACACCA
rnacentral:tRNA from 1 species